AUUAAAAAUUAUGUGAAUGUAAAAAAUUAAGGGUCCAUUGGCUUCAUGGGUCCGCCCCUCUCUGGUAUUGUCAUGAAAACACAUCACUUAAUAAAAUAAAGACAAACAUGACUGUAGAUCGUGUUGCUAAGAUUUUCUAGUUAAAAUCUGAACCAUAAUCGACAAUGAUUUGACUUCCCAAAUGACCUCUAUUAUUCCUAUUUCUCGUUUUCUUUUCUGUAUUCCUCGCUGCUACUUCUUUUGAACGUGGCUUCCCCUUAAUAUCAUGCGGCUGCGUGUGCUAAGAAUUGGGGUCUGUAGAUUUUUCGCUUUAAGAAAAUCACCACAAUGAUCAAUCUUCCUGGAUUAUUAUUAUUAAUAAUGAUGCUACCAAAAAUCGUAUCUGUUGAUUUCCCGAGCUUGGUGAUUUUGAUUGAUCAUGAUCGUAGUUUUUCGGUACCUGAAACAAAGGCAACGAGGUAUGUUCUCGUUGCCCCUCCGAUACUUAAGUCAGAAAGGGAAUUAUAUACGUGAAGCUAUAAACUGAAGAAUAAUGAAAACGUAUCUGAAUAAUGGCCCAAGGUUCUAUAUUUAUAGAGGUAGGUAGUGUACUCCUAGUAGGAUUGCGCCAGUUGGAUGUAUUUAUCCAAUGGAGUCCUGUUUGUGAGGAAUGUCCUACUUGUAAUGAAAUUGUUUGACUAGGGGUAUAAGAGUUGAUAUAGAGUUUUUGGGUGUUUAGGUGUCCGUUU
rnacentral:lncRNA from 1 species